rnacentral:tRNA from 1 species
GCCGGCGUAGCUCAAAGGUAGAGCAGCUGAUUUGUAAUCAGCGGGUUGGGGGUUCGAUUCCUCUCGCCGGCUCCA